AUUGAACGCUGGCGGCAGGCCUAACACAUGCAAGUCGAGCGGAUGAAGGGAGCUUGCUCCUGGAUUCAGCGGCGGACGGGUGAGUAAUGCCUAGGAAUCUGCCUGGUAGUGGGGGAUAACGUCCGGAAACGGGCGCUAAUACCGCAUACGUCCUGAGGGAGAAAGUGGGGGAUCUUCGGACCUCUCGCUAUCGGAUGAGCCUAGGUCGGAUUAGCUAGUUGGUGGGGUAAAGGCCUACCAAGGCGACGAUCCGUAACUGGUCUGAGAGGAUGAUCAGUCACACUGGAACUGAGACACGGUCCAGACUCCUACGGGAGGCAGCAGUGGGGAAUAUUGGACAAUGGGCGAAAGCCUGAUUCAGCCAUGCCGCGUGUGUGAAGAAGGUCUUCGGAUUGUAAAGCACUUUAAGUUGGGAGGAAGGGCAGUAAGUUAAUACCUUGCUGUUUUGACGUUACCAACAGAAUAAGCACCGGCUAACUUCGUG
rnacentral:rRNA from 1 species